CUGCCCGCUGGCUCCCUGCACUGGGGAAUGAGGUGAACUAAGCCUAGCAGACACCUCCUCCCAAAAGGAUUCUACGGCUGUACCUCUGACACCUGCUGGCUACAGGUGUUCAACAACUUUUAAGGAUGAGGGCAAAGAACUAUUUCAGUCUAUGAGGUGUUCUUUGAGGCUUAUUAGGGAGAAGCUACAGAUGGGAGGGGAAAAUGGGUAAAAGAAAGAGGGAGGGAAAAUAGGAGGAAAAUGUGGAAAAGGCAUUUGAGAGGGAAAAGCCUGAAGAUGACCUUAGAACUAAGGAGCAGUAACUCCAGCGGUUCAGCACCUGUUGUCAAACACCUUGUGAAUGAAAGAGCAAGGAGAGAAUUUAACUAUCUAGAAGACCACUCUUCCCAGUUUCUGGCCAAUGGGAUGUGGGCAGAAGUGAUAGGCAUCAGUUACAGAACUCAUUCACACCUUCUUCAAUGGUUUUGGAAGCCACAUGCUUCAGAUGGCAACGCUACCCUGGUAAAGAAGGUUGCAUCUGAGUCACCACGUGGAGAUCAACUUUGUAUGUGUGAAAAAUGAAUGUUGACUGUGUUGGGCCACUGAGAUAUUUAGCUGUUUGUAUCACCAGCUAGCCUUAUUUAUCCUAAUGAAUACAAGGAGACAAACAAAAACAUCUUUCAGAGUA